AUUGGAGCUUGCUCCUGGAUUAGUGGCGAACGGGUGAGUAACACGUGAGUAACCUGCCCUUAACUCUGGGAUAAGCCUGGGAAACUGGGUCUAAUACCGGAUAUGACUCCUCAUCGCAUGGUGGGGGGUGGAAAGCUUUAUUGUGGUUUUGGAUGGACUCGCGGCCUAUCAGCUUGUUGGUGAGGUAAUGGCUUACCAAGGCGACGACGGGUAGCCGGCCUGAGAGGGUGACCGGCCACACUGGGACUGAGACACGGCCCAGACUCCUACGGGAGGCAGCAGUGGGGAAUAUUGCACAAUGGGCGCAAGCCUGAUGCAGCGACGCCGCGUGAGGGAUGACGGCCUUCGGGUUGUAAACCUCUUUCAGUAGGGAAGAAGCGAAAGUGACGGUACCUGCAGAAGGCUAACUAACGUGCCAGCAGCCGCGGUAAUACGUAGGGCGCAAGCGUUAUCCGGGAAUUAUUGGGCGUAAAGAGCUCGUAGGCGGUUUGUCGCGUCUGCCGUGAAAGUCCGGGGCUCAACUCCGGAUCUGCGGUGGGUACGGGCAGACUAGAGUGAUGUAGGGGAGACUGGAAUUCCUGGUGUAGCGGUGAAAUGCGCAGAUAUCAGGAGGAACACCGAUGGCGAAGGCAGGUCUCUGGGCAUUAACUGACGCUGAGGAGCGAAAGCAUGGGGAGCGAACAGGAUUAGAUACCCUGGUAGUCCAUGCCGUAAACGUUGGGCACUAGGUGUGGGGGACAUUCCACGUUUUCCGCGCCGUAGCUAACGCAUUAAGUGCCCCGCCUGGGGAGUACGGCCGCAAGGCUAAAACUCAAAGGAAUUGACGGGGGCCCGCACAAGCGGCGGAGCAUGCGGAUUAAUUCGAUGCAACGCGAAGAACCUUACCAAGGCUUGACAUGAACCGGUAAUACCUGGAGACAGGUGCCCCGCUUGCGGUCGGUUUACAGGUGGUGCAUGGUUGUCGUCAGCUCGUGUCGUGAGAUGUUGGGUUAAGUCCCGCAACGAGCGCAACCCUCGUUCUAUGUUGCCAGCACGUGAUGGUGGGGACUCAUAGGAGACUGCCGGGGUCAACUCGGAGGAAGGUGGGGACGACGUCAAAUCAUCAUGCCCCUUAUGUCUUGGGCUUCACGCAUGCUACAAUGGCCGGUACAAAGGGUUGCGAUACUGUGAGGUGGAGCUAAUCCCAAAAAGCCGGUCUCAGUUCGGAUUGGGGUCUGCAACUCGACCCCAUGAAGUCGGAGUCGCUAGUAAUCGCAGAUCAGCAACGCUGCGGUGAAUACGUUCCCGGGCCUUGUACACACCGCCCGUCAAGUCACGAAAGUUGGUAACACCCGAAGCCGGUGGCCUAACCCCUUGUGGCCUCGUUCGUGUUUGAUCGGGGCUCAGUGCGGCUGGAUCACCUCGCUAGAGCACUCC
rnacentral:rRNA from 1 species